rnacentral:sRNA from 1 species
AGAGAGAGGAGAGAAGAGAGAGAGAGGAGAGAGAGAGAGAGAAUUAGAGAAAAACUUUUCCGAACUUCUCAUUCCGCUUUCGUUGCAGACUUCAGAGUCACCGUGACAGUAAGUAAUGAUGAUCUCAUGUAGCAAACCUACAGGCGUCCUCUAGUAACGAGACAGAAUGUGCUAACAUCGGAUAAAAAUUAGUGAAGGGAAGAAAGAAUAAGAAGAAAGGACUGAAAAUGGGGCCUGGAUUCCGCCUGUUAGUCGGGAAGUGGCAUUUUUCCGCUCGUCCUGACAUUUGAUUUCUCCAACUAACUUAAGGAGGGGGUGAAAGGAUGGGGAGGAGGAGGAGGAGGAAGAAAGGGUGGGAUGAGGCGCUGGGCUGGAGGAGAAAAAGAAAGGUGUGGAGGAGGAGGGAGCAGACUGUGCAGGGAGCUGAUAAACCAGUUAGAGCAGCUUUCGCCCGGGGCGGGGGGCGGUGGAGCGGGGAAAAUAACGGCGUCUAAAAGGGGCUGCCUUGGAAACCUGAAGGAUGUGAUGUUUUCCUGUUUUAUGUUGUUUUUGAGAAAAAAAGAACCGAGUUCUUAGAAUAGUCCCCGAGGAGGGGUUAAAAUCCUCCGCCGCGCAAGCCGAUCUGUCAUGUGGUAAUUCGAUAAUUAGAGUCAAAAAGGUUUUUUUUUUUUUUAAGGCGACCUUUCUCCAGGACAAUUUCUCUUUCUCUACACGCAGCAAACAUGCAAGCCUUUCACAUCACGUGAGGAUCAAGGGCUCAAUUGGUUGUCGUGAGAACAAAAAUGGUGACAAGCGUAUCAAGAAAAUACUGAUCUGGUCUUUUAAAAAAAAAAAAGCUGAAGGUUUCUCCCUUCCCCCUGCAACCCCCUCUCCCCCCGCACGCCCUACAGUGGGCGAAGCUACAAGUUAUGAAUGUGAAACAUUUCUCAGCCAUCUCGGAAGUUCGGAAGGAGGGAAAUGUAAUGGCCACAAGAGCAAAGCAGAUGUUUUAAAGAAACAGCUUAUAAACCUUUCCUCAACUGAUCUCCAAUUUGUCGGCUUUCCCAAGGGGCCAAAGCGGAGGACGCCUGGGGGGAGGGCAGAGUACCUCGGAGCUGCUGGGAUUUUAGGAAACACCCCCCCACCAUGUAUUAAACAAAGAAAAACAUUUUGCUAGCUCCCAAACAGGGACUUGUAAUAAACACACCAUUGUUACUA